UUCCAGACUCCUACGGGAGGCAGCAGUGGGGAAUAUUGCACAAUGGGGGAAACCCUGAUGCAGCGACGCCGCGUGAGUGAAGAAGUAUUUCGGUAUGUAAAGCUCUAUCAGCAGGGAAGAAAAUGACGGUACCUGACUAAGAAGCCCCGGCUAACUACGUGCCAGCAGCCGCGGUAAUACGUAGGGGGCAAGCGUUAUCCGGAUUUACUGGGUGUAAAGGGAGCGUAGACGGCAUGGCAAGUCAGAUGUGAAAGCCCGGGGCUCAACCCCGGGACUGCAUUUGAAACUGUCAGGCUGGAGUGCAGGAGAGGUAAGUGGAAUUCCUAGUGUAGCGGUGAAAUGCGUAGAUAUUACACAGAACACCGAUUGCGAAGGCAGCUUGCUAGGCCGGAUCUGACACUGAUGCACGAAAGCGUGGGGAUCGAACAGGAUUAGAUACCCGCGUAUA
rnacentral:rRNA from 1 species